GAUGAACGCUGGCGGCGUGCCUAAUACAUGCAAGUCGAGCGAACAGACGAGGAGCUUGCUCCUCUGACGUUAGCGGCGGACGGGUGAGUAACACGUGGAUAACCUACCUAUAAGACUGGGAUAACUUCGGGAAACCGGAGCUAAUACCGGAUAAUAUAUUGAACCGCAUGGUUCAAUAGUGAAAGACGGUUUUGCUGUCACUUAUAGAUGGAUCCGCGCCGCAUUAGCUAGUUGGUAAGGUAACGGCUUACCAAGGCAACGAUGCGUAGCCGACCUGAGAGGGUGAUCGGCCACACUGGAACUGAAACACGGUCCAGACUCCUACGGGAGGCAGCAGUAGGGAAUCUUCCGCAGUGGGCGAAAGCCUGACGGAGCAACGCCGCGUGAGCGAUGAAGGUCUUCGGAUCGUAAAACUCUGUUAUUAGGGAAGAACAAAUGUGUAAGUAAAUAUGCACGACUUGACGGUAACUAAUCAGAAAGCCACGGCUAACUACGUG
rnacentral:rRNA from 1 species